rnacentral:rRNA from 1 species
UACGAAGGGGGCUAGCGUUGCUCGGAAUCACUGGGCGUAAAGCGCACGUAGGCGGCUUUCUAAGUCAGGGGUGAAAUCCUGGAGCUCAACUCCAGAACUGCCUUUGAUACUGGGAAGCUUGAGUCCGGAAGAGGUGAGUGGAACUCCGAGUGUAGAGGUGAAAUUCGUAGAUAUUCGCAAGAACACCAGUGGCGAAGGCGGCUCACUGGCCCGAUACUGACGCUGAGGCACGAAAGCGUGGGGAGCAAACAGG